CUCUUCAUGGAUGGCCCCUUGACAGAAACCCACACAGGGCCUGCUACUGAAAGCUGGCUUGGUGUUGGGGGGCUGCUUUCUUCUGUAGUGUUUUCAAGACUCCCAUCAAUGCUCCUUCCUUCCUCGGAUGCCACUUCCAAACAGGUAGCAUUUAAGGUCUGUGCACUUGGAGCUGGUGAUAACUCCUCCAGGGAGUGCAGCAUUUGUUGCUUAGACACCUCUGUUUUGUCUUGGAGAGUUUCCCAGGUCACAUGUUCUGAGAUCAGGGCCGAUGGCCUCGUGGUUCCUGUGGUCUUCCUGGGUGCUUCUGGAGACACCCUGACGUCUGUUUCAUCUCGUGGCCCAUCAGUCUCUGGGGUUGUGCCUUGCCUCCUUCCUUCACUCGUGGUAACACUGGGUGUUACUGAGUUCCUGGUGCUCCACAGCCAAACACCCUGUGUUGUGCUGGACAUGCUUCUUGAUUUUGGAGACGGACCCUCUGGAGUGGGGACUGCUGCCCUGAUAGAGCCCUCCUCUCUGCUGCCUGUCCCCGGAACCAUUGUCCUGGCUGUUCUUAAGGAUCUGGGUGAUGCCUGAGGUCCAUCCGUUGCCUGCUGAGGAUGCUGCUCCAGGAGAUGCUGUGGUGGGCUCACCGGAAGCUGGUGCUGCUGCAUAGGUGGUGUUGGAUGGACCUGUGUGGACACACAGAGAGAAAGGCCAAGCAGGAAGGCUACCUGGGUUACCUACUCGAUUCAGCAAAGGGUAUUUGAUCAAAGCAUGUGUUAAGAAGGAUGCACCACACUAAGAGAUGUGAUUUUUCUGCCAAAAUGUCCAAAAAAUUAGAAGUUGAGCAUCUCAACCCGCUUCUAUUCU
rnacentral:lncRNA from 1 species